AUGUUGGAGCAAAGUAAGGCUCUCAGCGACCCCACCUCUGCGGCCGAGAACCCCGGCUCCGAGGCGCCCGGCAGCCCUGGAGCGCCGGCGGGGGUCCUGCCCGCGACCCCCGCGGCGCCCCCGAGCCCCGCCGCCCCAGACCCCGAGCAACGAGGGUGACCCGAAGGCCCCGCCGCAGGCCGUGGAGGAGGACCGUGCCCCCCAGCCCCCCAGCGCGGCCCAGCCAGGCCCGCGUCCCCCGAGCAGCUGGUGCAGAAGGCGCACGAGCUCAUGUGGUACGUGCUGGUCAAGGACCAGAAGAAGAUGGUCAUCUGGUUCCCAGACAUGGUGAAGGAUGUCAUCAGCAGCUACAAGAAGUGGUCCGAGCAUCCUCCGUUGCACCAGCCUCAUCCUCGCGCGUGUGUUUGGGCUGCACCUGCGGCUGACCAGCCUCCACACCAUGGAGUUUGCGCUGGUCAAGGCGCUGGAGCCGGAGGAACUGAACAGGGUGGCGCUGAGCAACCGCAUGCCCAUGACGGGCCUCCUGCUCAUGAUCCUGAGCCUCAUCUACGUGAAGGGCCGCGGCACCCGGGAGAGCGCCGUCUGGAACGUGCUGCGCAUUCUGGGGCUGCGGCCCUGGAAGAAGCACUUUACCUUCGGGGACGUGAGGAAGCUCAUCACCGAGGAGUUUGUGCGGCAGAAUUAUCUGAAGUACCAGCGUGUACCCUCAUGGAGCCCCCGGAGUAUGAGUUCUUCUGGGGCUCCCGGGCCAGUCGUGAGAUCACCAAGAUGCAGAUCAUGGAGUUCCUGGCCAAGGUCUUCAAGAAAGAUCCCCAGGCCUGGCCUUCCCGUUACAGAGAAGCUCUGGAGGAGGCCAGAGCUCUGCGGGAGGCUAAUCCCACUGCCCACUACCCCCGCAGCAGUGUCUCCGAGGACUAGUGAGAUCUGGAGGCAGAUUAAUAGUUUCUGACCCUCGCCAGGGCUGUGGAAGGGUGGGGGUGGGCCAUUAGCGUAUGCAGGAUUUACAGUGCAGUAUUCACGUGUAACUUUUAAGUUUUCAGUACAGUGCUUUUAUAACUUUUAAUGCAAUGUUGUAUUCAUUUGGGUACUAUUAAGUAGUAUUUAGGAUUUAUGCAUGUAUGUUUAUAAGUAAGCUCAGUUGGUGCUUUCGCUUUUGUGCUACCUUGCUUGAAUUUUUGUACCGGAGUCAUGCUAAACUCAUGAAACACAUUGAAAGAGUUUCCAUUUUAUUCUUUCCUAUGCGAUGAAAGAUGUGUACUGGGAUAGACUGUUCCUGGAGAGUUUGGAAGAAUUCACUAGCAAAGCUGGCACAGGACACAUCCAUGUGGAGUGAACUGAUUUGAACUGAACUGGUCUCAAUGUGAGCAUUUGGCACACUUUACUGAAUAUGUAUUCAACCCCACCAUAAGUCAGUUUUAAAGUAAACAUUAAAGAUUCUUGUAAUACAAU